rnacentral:lncRNA from 1 species
CUUCCUCGUGGUCGCGCACCCGGUUGGAUUUCACAGUCAUGGAAGUUCUGCUUUAAAAUCCGUUUCUGAAGAAGUGUUAAUGUAUAAGAAAAACAGCAGACGAACACCAGGUGAGGGAGAGUGUAUUAAACACCUGGACGGUACUCCGCAAAUAUGACACAGUCACCAAAGACAAGUUUGAGAAUCUGUCUCAGACAAGAUCUUGACACUGCUGACCAGGGACAAAAUGUCCCAUUGACAGUCAUGCUCUGGAGCAGGAUGGGCAGUGAGAGACCAGAGACCACAGGAUGGGGGAAACACAAAUGCUGACCUCAAGGAGAAGCUGAAGCCAAGAGUAUUAAUCACAGUGGUGAAGAUAAGAAAGAUGACCCCAAGUAAGAAAGCCCAGAAAGGCACUUGCUGUUGACUCCCUCAGAAAGAACACCACGAAAGACCAUGGAUCAUGUAAAUAAGAAGAAGAAAGAAAGUAAGGAAGAAACACCAUACCUUGUUGAGAGCUGUAAAUGGUAUGAUAUUUUACUCCAUGUGGAGCUAACAAACUAGCCUGUCACAACUUCAAGGAUGCUGUCGGAAGACACAAGAUUCCUGGGUCAGAGCCAAAGGACCGUAUCAACGAUGGCAGUGCCUGGGCAUCCCACAUGUGUGUUUAUUCUCCUUGCCCAGAAAAAUGGUGUGGAACGCCCUCGAUGAAACGUGUACACAGUGGGUUGCAUGACAGGAGAAAAUCUCAGAGACUUAGGAACCCAAAUAUGUUAUUGUGAGCAGUGAGCAUUGCUGCCCUUGGCUCCCCGGGAAGACAACAUCUGUAUCUUCCAACAGUGUUAACUGCACAGACAUCCUUGAAAAGAUAGUCCAGAACAAAGGGUGGUUAGUGCCUUGCUGGCAAAAUGUGAUAAAAAUAUGACACUCUUUGAAAUUAUCGUCCAAUGUGUCUUUCCCAUAUGAAAUAGACAACACUUUAAACACAACUUUAAUUAAAUUUUUAUACAUUCCAAUUUGGGAAGCAGUGAUAAUUUAAAUUAUGACAAAAUUCACUGGAUGGCAGUGUCAGGGAGAGAAUGGGGAGGCCAUGCUGAGAAAAUGUUUAUACGUGCAAAGGAAGAGAAUUGCGUAGGACCUCAUAAACAGCUUUUGACUUUGCCAGUGACAAACUCAAGUGUGCUACGGAAGAGUCAGCUCCUGCAACCUGGAGCGGAGGCAAGGGGUCCGUCCUCAGUAAGUGUGGUGGGUCAAAUGGUGCCCCCAAAAACCUCAGAAUGUGACUGUGCUUGAAAUAAGAGUCUUUGCAGAGACAAAGAAGGAGACACAGAGAGACAAAGAGACGAAGAGAGGAGGGUGAUGUGAAGAUGGACGCAGAGAUCAAAUCCAUGAAGCUAAGGAAUUCCAGGAAGCGGAGAGAGCUGGGACAGAGAUAUGGAACAGACCCUCUCUCUGAGCUUCCAGAAGGUGUGAUUUUGGACUUCUCAUCCGCAGCU